UACGAAGGGUGCAAACGUUGCUCGGAAUCAUUGGGCGUAAAGCGCACGUAGGCGGCGCAGUAAGUCGGACGUGAAAUCCCUCGGCUCAACCGAGGACGUGCAUCCGAAACUACUGUGCUCGAGUAUGGAAGAGGGUCGCGGAAUUCUCGGUGUAGAGGUGAAAUUCGUAGAUAUCGGGAGGAACACCAGUGGCGAAGGCGGCGACCUGGGCCAAUACUGACGCUGAGGUGCGAAAGCGUGGGGAGCGAUCCGG
rnacentral:rRNA from 1 species